AUUGAACGCUGGCGGCAUGCCUUACACAUGCAAGUCGAACGGUAACAGGUCUUCGGAUGCUGACGAGUGGCGAACGGGUGAGUAAUACAUCGGAACGUGCCCGAUCGUGGGGGAUAACGAGGCGAAAGCUUUGCUAAUACCGCAUACGAUCUACGGAUGAAAGCGGGGGAUCUUCGGACCUCGCGCGGACGGAGCGGCCGAUGGCAGAUUAGGUAGUUGGUGGGAUAAAAGCUUACCAAGCCGACGAUCUGUAGCUGGUCUGAGAGGAUGAUCAGCCACACUGGGACUGAGACACGGCCCAGACUCCUACGGGAGGCAGCAGUGGGGGAUUUUGGACAAUGGGCGAAAGCCUGAUCCAGCCAUGCCGCGUGCAGGAUGAAGGCCUUCGGGUUGUAAACUGCUUUUGUACGGAAACGAAAAAGCCU
rnacentral:rRNA from 1 species